UACGUAGGUCGCAAGCGUUGUCCGGAUUUACUGGGCGUAAAGGGCGCGUAGGCGGCCAGCACAAGUCAGUUGUGAAAUCUCCGAGCUUAACUCGGAAAGGUCAACUGAUACUGUGCGGCUAGAGUGCAGAAGGGGCAACUGGAAUUCUUGGUGUAGCGGUGAAAUGCGUAGAUAUCAAGAGGAACACCUGCGGCGAAGGCGGGUUGCUGGGCUGACACUGACGCUGAGGCGCGAAAGCUAGGGGAGCGAACGGG
rnacentral:rRNA from 1 species